AAGACUUUAAGUUAAAAAAACUUUAUGCCUUCAAAGCAUUAAUUACUAAAAGUAAGUCUUA
rnacentral:tRNA from 1 species